ACUCCUACGGGAGGCAGCAGUGGGGAAUAUUGGACAAUGGGGGAAACCCUGAUCCAGCCAUGCCGCGUGAGUGAUGAAGGCCCUAGGGUUGUAAAGCUCUUUUGUGCGGGAAGAUAAUGACGGUACCGCAAGAAUAAGCCCCGGCUAACUUCGUGCCAGCAGCCGCGGUAAUACGAAGGGGGCUAGCGUUGCUCGGAAUCACUGGGCGUAAAGGGUGCGUAGGCGGAUUUUUAAGUCAGAGGUGAAAGCCUGGAGCUCAACUCCAGAACUGCCUUUGAUACUGGGAAUCUUGAGUUCGGGAGAGGUGAGUGGAACUGCGAGUGUAGAGGUGAAAUUCGUAGAUAUACGCAAGAACACCAGUGGCGAAGGCGGCUCACUGGCCCGAUACUGACGCUGAGGCACGAAAGCGUGGGGAGCAAACAGGAUUAGAUACCCUAGUAGUCCACGCCGUAAACGAUGAAUGCCAGCCGUUGGAGGGUUUACUCUCCAGUGGCGCAGCUAACGCUUUAAGCAUUCCGCCUGGGGAGUACGGUCGCAAGAUUAAAACUCAAAGGAAUUGACGGGGGCCCGCACAAGCGGUGGAGCAUGUGGUUUAAUUCGACGCAACGCGCAGAACCUUACCAGCCCUUGACAUGUCCAGGACCGGUCGCAGAGAUGUGACCUUCUCUUCGGAGCAUGGAGCACAGG
rnacentral:rRNA from 1 species